GAAAAACUUUAAGGUAUAAAAUUUAACAGAAUUAUAUGUAUGAUAAGAGUAGAAAAGAUAUUUAUAUACGAAAAAGUUUAAAAAAUAUUAUAAACAAUUGAUAAUUGAUAAAAUGUCCAGGUGUUUCAUUUCCUGUAAAACGUGUAUUGUGCAUGCGCAUUGAACACUUCCUGUGACACGUAUAUUUUUUGUAACAGGUACUUGCUGACAUCAGUAUGGCUUGGUCUUCGUGACGUGUCGGGAAUUUCAAAUCGUUGAUAUAUGAACAACAAGACAACUGUCAUAAAAUGCAUAGGAUAAGAAUUCCAAUGAAAGAUGUUCUCUAGUGUACUUCGUUGUGUCCCGCUGUCCAAAAUCGUCGCUUCGACAUCGCUGGUCUUAGGCGCCAAACCAACCGUUAUCGUAUAACGGAGAAAGAACUCACAGAUGUUACAUACUUUUAAUAUACAAAUACAAACACACAAGUGAACGAGUGGAAUACCAAAGCCGAACUCCUCUUUUGGCAUUUGAGAAUAGUAUAUACAAUAUCAACCUGUCCUAAGGACAUUUUAUAAUGUAUAUAAAUACACACGUUUUAGAGUUACAUAUAUUAAUCAUUUUGACAUAAGAUCAGUCCGCAUGUACAUCCUGCACUAUAAUAUUCAUAAAUCAAAGUCAUGUUCCAUAGUGCACAUAUGAAAUAAAAACCUUAAUAUAUGUAUAUACAUGUUGACUUGUCAUUCUUUUUGAAUAUAGCGUGUAUGACUCAUUAGCCUGUGCAACCAGCUAUACGAC